rnacentral:tRNA from 1 species
CGGCGCCGCAGCCCGAGGAGGGCUCGCUGUUCACGUCACCGACGCCGGUGGCGCCGUUGCGCCAACCAGAGAUCGUGUCGCCGCCGCCGG